UUCCCAUUCUCAAAAGAAGAAGGGGAAAAAAAAAAGCCAAACGAAAGAAAUGAAGCUACAUUUCCCCAUUGAGACAUCCUGGAGUGUCUGCUUCAAAGAGGAUUGAGGGGGAAAUGUUCAAUUUUAUUGGUUUGUUCUGCUGGGUCCUUCUCUCUGGGACACUCUUUAGCGCACCAAGUGAAGUGGAAAAUGAAGAACAGGCCAUGCUGCUUCUGCUUGAGACCAUCCAGAAAAAUCUGGACAUUCAGGGAAGGGUCUUCUAGCUCUGAGAGCCAUUUUCUUUCUUUCAGAUGACCCUGGGUAUCUCUGUUCUGAUCAGCUUGCAGACAACUGUUUGUGAGACUCUGCCUCCAAUAGUCAUGUGAGUCAAUUCCUAAAAUAAAUCUCUUAUCAUCUAUCUAUCUAUCUAUCUAUCUAUCUAUCUAUCUAUCUAUCUAUCAUCUAUCUAUCUAUCUUCUCUCUCUCUCUACUUUCCUACCCAUCUAUCUCAUCUCCUAUUGAUUCUAUCUCUCUGGAGAACCCUGACUAAUAUACACUGGGUCAUUGGAGCAAUGGAGAAAUGAAGGAACAGUUCAAAUGCCAUUCACAUUCAACAUGACUUUUUUACUCUGCCCAGUGUUGCUCUGCUAGCUCUACGUUAGAUUGGGGACCCACAUACAUGUCAGUGACAGGGAGGGUGAAAGUCCUAAUGGUGUGCUGGCUUAUAACACCUUAUGGAAAGCUGGUUGAUUUUCAGGAAUUUUUCAUGCCAUCAGUUAGACAUCCAUUAUUAAAAAUUAAAUCACAUAAGCUUGCAAUUAAGUACAUUAUAUUGAAAACAACAUAAAAUAAAUAUUUAAAACAUCACAUCUUUGUUACAUUACAACUUUAUGCUACUAUCUAUGCUCUUGAAGUUAUUUCUAUCUAUUGUGUCUAUAUGGUAGAAAUACUCUAUAAUUCACAUCUCUAUGACUGCAUUCAAUGAUAUCAUGUUAAUGGCUUGAUGGCUGUAGUGGGAAUAUUUACACCAUGGAAACUGGGAGAUGCUACUAAUCAGAACUCCCUGCUGCCCACCCCACCUCCAUCUGAGAGCCGACAUUAACAUUUACACACAUUAGUGGGUGGAACUCAGUUCAGUAGCUUCCUGCCUCUAACUUCAUUCUGAACAUUCUGAAUUAUCAAUCACCAGGAAAAACAUCCUGUGCUAGGUUUGGAUGACUCCUGCAAAACCAACUGGGCAGCUUCUUGAGAUAUUAGGCACCUGGGCAGAAUUUUCAGGAGAGAGAUGGUCUGUUUCUUUCUGUACACCUCCAGACCCCAAAGUAUCAAGUGUCAAUGUCCCUCAUACUUGACCUUGUCAAGGGUGUAUUUGUCUAUUGGGAUAAUUCCAAUCCUGGAUAUCCCAUUGUUGGGCCAGAAAUCUGUUUGGCUAUCCCUGUUCUAAUUCUCUUUCCUUUCUCAGUCCUGACUUAUUUUCAGCUGGUGACUCCCUGGAGGUCUGAGGCUUUGAUUUAUAUAAUACAAGGAACUGGCAAAGGGGUGGGACACUGGCCUGCAGAAACUCGGGUAUGUAGGCUUGCACAUGUGGCCUGAUGGCCAAAUUAUCUGCUGGACUGAAGUGUACCCUUUGGACUGUGUCCUUGCUUCUAGCAGCUCGUAGGGCAUCCAGAGCUUAAAAAGGAGCAAGCAGGAGCUGGUUGAAGAUUUAUUGCCCUGUGACUCCUUCCCUGACUGCAAGCAAUGCCUGGGCCUGGAGCUUCAGCCCCCUGACCACCACCUAGUGUCAAAGAAUAUUACUGGUCCUAAAGAGAGGUGGAAUUUGGCUACUGUUCAGGGAGGUCAGAGAGAUGCUACUAAGAACAGUGAAAAGUAGAGGUUAUCUCUUGAAGUGGAUCUUGACUUUUUCCAUGUUCCUAGUUCUUCAAGCUAUUUCAAAAAAUAAAAUGCAUGAAAGAUGAAAAACAGUCUAAAUAUCCUUUAAUAGGGACAGAUUAAGUACUCAUAUUCUAUCUUAAGAAGAAGAA